UUGUGUGAAAACUUCCUGCGUUUUCUGCGUUCUUUGUGUGCUUCGCUGUGACAUCUUUGGAAUAUUCCUGCGUGUUGCUCGCUUUUUAUGGGCUUGUUGCCUCGAAGAUCGCCAUGAUCACCUCCGACUCAGCGACAUCAAAGAUUCAAAGUGAGCUGGGAGACGCCCCAGCUGGAACGCUAAAGGUUCACAUAGGUUGAAGGAGUGCACAUUGAGAAGGUUAUCCUGGCACAGCUUACCAUGGCCUGCCAUGGUGGACCAGGAAAGUUUGCAAGGGCCUUGCUUCACCAUGUGUUCACAGAGGAGGAGCUCAUGGGCCAUUUGGGCUUUGGAAAUAACACCAAGGGGCAAAAAAGGCUCUUGACCCCACCAGGGUCAGUGCUGUUAUAGGCUUCACGUGUCACAAGUUUCCUGGUACCAACAUGCCCUAUGUAAAGAACUCUGGCCUCGCUUCUCGCAUGGGACCAAUAGCCUCUCAAGAGCCCAAGUUGGACAGCUCAAACCAAAACACAAGUGUUGUGCUUUUGUAACUCUCGACAUUCUUAUGUUUCAUGUCAGUCGCCUGAAGGGCCCAAUUUGGAUUUCUCAAAUGAGCAUACAAAUGUUGUGCCUUUCUAUGCCUUGACAUAAUUAUGUUAAUUUUAUUUAUGUUAAUUACGCUAGUCUCCUGAGAAGCCCACAUUGGAUUGCUCAAUCGAGAAUACAAGUACUGUGCUUUGUUAUAGUUCACUACAUUUUUAUGUUAGUUUUUGAUAUGGUUCCAGUAAGGAUAGUGUUUCCUUAAUAAUAUAUUUUUUAAGUAUCUUAAGUCAUUUCAUGCCAAACCACCCAAUUUUGUCAAGAACUGUUCCACUAUGGCAAAGCAUUUCAAGAUUGCUUGAUUUUGAGUACAUACAAUGAGAAAAUUUUUGAGAAAAUUUGCUUUCAUACAUACACUUGAGUCAUUCCAGGGCAACCAACCAGCGUUUUUUUUUUACCAUCGCAGAUAUAGUUGAAGCUCCGAACUCUUGCUCCCCAUUUAUUUUCCUUCGCAAAAAUUUAUUGUUCUUGCCCAGCUAAGCUAGAAGGCACUAAUACACGUUUCUUUUGAAAGGGAAAUUGUAUGAUCCAGAUAUUCAGAUGAUGUUCAUGUCAAGAGACUGAAGUGGUGUGACUGCCAAAAUUUGCAAAGUUUGAAUUUUCUUCUAAUGUAGGGAAAUACAGAAGGCACAAAAUGAAUAUAAAAUCAGACUGGUUGGCUUGGGAUAGCUGCGAAAUAUCUCAAGCCUUGUAGGUUGAGUUGAUCAGCUAAAAAAACUGUAAAGUUCCAAUUUUUUGCAAGAAGCUUCGUGUUCAAGGUAAAAAAUUAGCUUUGGUGGUUGGCACAAAAGUAUGUCACCUAUCAUUACACAGCCCUACAUGUCUGCUAUGCAUGUGACAAGUAACAAAAAGGUAUUAUUCUUUAAGUGCGAUAAAUUAUUUUCAUAAUGUUCAUUUGUGGAUCAUACAUACAGCAUAAAUAUAUGAAGCCGUCAUCUAGCAAGGAAAGAUUGUUAAUAUAAUUAGCCACAAGAACUACUCAACAAACUGACUGCCUUUUUUAUCAUUACGAAGGCAGGUGACGUCAAGCGCUGCAGCUGUAGUCUCAACUCGUAUUUUUUUCAACAUGAAUGCAAAAAGUGGUUGCCAAUGGUGUCUGACCACAUCAGACUGAACAUGGCACAUAUGACUUUUAUAGAUGAGCAUGUUCCGGCUCUGAAACAGUGGUAGCAAACAACACCACAAGAAUUUGUUCAUACUCAUGUAGGUUUUCAGUCUUAAUUAUGAAGGUGUUUUCGACUUGCAUCAUCAUUGGGCUUCAGGGAGCAGGGCACAAAGUGUUCUGCUCCCUUUAUGUUGCAUUGCAAUGCGACAUGCCCUUCAAAAUGCUUUGUAUGAACAAUAUCAGCGCUCUUUCUGGAUUAACUGUCUACAUAAUAGCUUAUAUUUCUUUUUGUAAACUGCAUGAAACAUAUCUUUUAGCACUGCAGGAUUCCCUCACAUAUUUAAUACGUACAAGGUCUGUUAGAAAAGUAUUUUACCUUUUUUUGCGAAAACCUGACGAAUAUGAAACAAGCGCAUUUUCAUCAGCCGCCCUUGAACCUUUGUGCGCAUGCACAAAUUUUUUCCCACCUGCCAAUAGCGUGAAUUGCUGGGACGCAGCGUUUGAAUGAGGUAGUACAGUGCUUUCGUCGAUUUUUUAUUGGAAGGAAAAUGGCGGAGCGACUGGAGCAAUGCUACUGCAUCAAAUUUUGCCAGAAACUGGGCGACAGCCAAGUGGAAACCAUUCGGAAGAAUAAGACUGCUUUCGGUGACUAUGCUAUGAGCAGCACACAGAUUAAGGAGUGGUACAACCAGCUUAAAGACGGCCACACAUCGGUGGAGAGCGAGCCACGCUCCAGUCAGCCAUCAACAUGCCGAAAUGACCAGGUCAUUGCCGAAGUGAACCCUGUGGUGAUGCGGGACCGUCGUGUGAUUAUCCAAGAAAUUGCGGAAGAGGUGGGCAUCAGCACAUUUUAUCCACAUUCCAUUAUCACCGAAAAUUUGGCCAUGAAGAGAGUUGCGCCGAAAUUCGUUCCCAAACUGCUCAUGGUGGAGCAAAAGCAAUUCGUGUUGCAAUCUCACAGACAUGCUGGAUUCUACAAACAGUGACCCCAACUUCAUGAACACCAUAAUCACUGGUGACAAGUCUUGGGUGUAUGUUUACGACCCAAAAACCAAAUCCCAGUCGUUACAGUGGAAGCAUUCCAUGUCACCAACCAAAGACCGCUAAGUGUGCAGCAACGUAAAAGUGUUGCUGACUGCUUUCUUUGACUCCCGCAGUGUGGUACACCACGGAUACGCACCACAGGGUCAAACAAUCACUAAAGCCUACUACAGGGAUGUCCUCCAUGGCCUAUGUGAUGCGGUAUGGUGCAAGAUACCGAAGUUGUCAACAGGAAAUUGGCACAUCCAUCACGACAAUGCUUUUUCGCCUCGCACUUGAUUCAGACUUUUUUGGCGAAAAACCAGACUCCUGUAGUUCGACAGGCUCCUUACUCUCCUGAUAUGGCCGCCUGCGACUUCUGGCUGUUCCCCAAACCAAGAGGCCAUUGAAACAAGCGCGAUUUCAGACAAGAGAAGGCAUUAUAGCUGCAACGACACCUGAGCUAAACUCCAUUUGGAAAGAGGCCUUCUCGGAAUGCUUCUAACAAUGGCAGCACCGCUGGGAGAAGUGGCUGGAUUGCCAAGGAGACUACUUUGAGGGUGAUUAGGUUUCCAAUGCUCCAGUUAUGCCAGUUUUUUUCUUCUUCAGCCAAAGGUCGGAUACUUUUCUAACAGACCUCAUAUUGAUAUUUUAUGUGCAAUGGCUAUAUGGUUUACCUGGCCCACAGCAAACACAAGCCUCGUUGCGUUAGAGCAUGUGUCCCUUGGCAAUAAAAUGCAGACCCUAACACCGCUUCUAUGUUAUCUGUGUUGCAUACGAAGCCAGCUUUGUUGUCUGCAUUCCCGGCUGGCACGCUGUGCGCACAUCUGAGAAAAGUCGGUGCUGACAAAAUUUCAAAAAAGAAUUUCUCGCAUUUAAACAUGCCUUUUUUAACUUCACACUGGCAUAGCAGACAUGUAGAGCUAUCCAAUAAGGUAUCACAUAUUUUUUGGCGAACUAUGAAAGCUGUUUUGUCCUUGAACAUGAAGCUUCUUGCAAAAGAUUAGAAUUUGUUUUUUUUACAGCCGAUCAGCUGAACUGUCAGAGCUUCAUAUAUUUUUCUGCUAUACUAUGUCACCUGGGCUACCAUUUAUUUAAGUUCUGUCCUGUGAGUUUUUUCUUACGAAAAAAAAAAUCUAACGGUUUGCAAUUUGACUCAUUUUUGCCGGUGCCAAAAGCAAUUAUAUUCAAAUAUUAGAAAAAUGGGCUAUUUUGGCAGUUGCAUCACUUCACCGUAUUUCCAUGCACACCAUUUGAAGGCCUCGAUUAAUACAAUGUGCAUUUGAAAAAGACUUUGAAAAAGAAAAGUAUUUAAAACAUUUGAAAAAAAGAACAAUGAAAAGCUAGAUAACAUUUGAUGUCGUCUAGCUCAGCUGAACAGGAAAACUAAACUGUCACCAAAAUGCUACAAAAUAUCUGGCAAAAAUAAAUAGAAGUGGGUAACGAGCUUUAAACUCUAGUAAACAUAUGGCAGUGUUUCCGCUAUAUGUGUGGUGUCAACAAAAUGCUUGUCGAUUCGGCAUGAAAUCGCAUACUUGCAAGUGCAUCUGUGCCAUUUUCAGAGUUCAGUAAAAACGGCAUUUUACAUAACUUUGUAAAAGCGGUUUAUUGCAAUCUAAAAUACAUGAGUAAAAAUUAAUAGGUAUAAGUCGGCUUAAAUUUAAUAUGCAACAAAAAAUCUACAGUAAUGGCAAUGGUGUGCCUUUCAUGUUUGCAUAAAACCAUAUCUUCUGAAUUCUUUAGUUAUUUUUUGUGGCAGUGAAUAAAAUUGAAAUGGAACUCACACAAGGAGUAACUGCUGUAUUCCAGCACAUCACUAAUAGCUGUCUUUUUUUCUUAUAAAAAUCUGAAGCAGUUAAUAUGAAUAAGUCACUUGAUAUGAAAUGACCUGCGUAGGAACGUUAUCAUUGCAGAAAACACAACUGGAUCAUGCAACAGCAAUGCAGCAUAAUAAACUGCUCCCAUAAGCAUCACUUAUUGUGAUUGCCAUGUUUAAGAAGUAUGUAAGGUUUACUGAAAUUGGCACACACCAUUCAACCAACAAAUAAGUAUUGUACAGUGAUUCUUUUUAGUUUUACAU